ACGAACGCUGGCGGCGUGCCUAAUACAUGCAAGUCGAGCGGACUUUCAAGAAGCUUGCUUUUUGAAAGUUAGCGGCGGACGGGUGAGUAACACGUGGGCAACCUGCCUGCAAGACGGGGAUAACUCCGGGAAACCGGGGCUAAUACCGGAUAAUAUCUUCCUUCGCAUGAAGGAAGGUUGAAAGGCGGCGCAAGCUGCCGCUUGCAGAUGGGCCCGCGGCGCAUUAGCUAGUUGGUGAGGUAACGGCUCACCAAGGCGACGAUGCGUAGCCGACCUGAGAGGGUGAUCGGCCACACUGGGACUGAGACACGGCCCAGACUCCUACGGGAGGCAGCAGUAGGGAAUCUUCCGCAAUGGACGAAAGUCUGACGGAGCAACGCCGCGUGAGCGAAGAAGGUCUUCGGAUCGUAAAGCUCUGUUGUCAGGGAAGAACAAGUACCGUUCGAACAGGGCGGUACCUUGACGGUACCUGACCAGAAAGCCACGGCUAACUACGUG
rnacentral:rRNA from 1 species